UGUCAGCACAGAGCCCAACGUAGGGCUCGAACUCACAAACUGCAAGAUCUUGACCUGAGCUGAAGUCAGACACUUAACCGACCCAGCCACCCAGGCGCCCCCUAACCACCAUAUUUAGUAUGCAACCUGUCCAACCUCCCCCCAGGACUGCCACUCUCCCCUUUUCUCUAGUUUUUACAUGGUAUUUAAUCCGUAACGUAAUAAAGCCUACUUAUUCAUUAAUUAUAUUAUUUAUUGUCUUUAUGUCCCCACUAAAAUGUGAAACCCAUGAGGACAGAGAUCUUUGUCUAUUUUGUUCACUAUUGUAUCUCAAGUGCAUAAAACAAUGUCUGGCAGACAGUAGUUACUUAAUAAAUAUGCAUUGAAUGAAUGAAUGAGUGAAUGAAUGAAUGAAUGAGUGCCUGAAAUGGUUUAAGAGUACUAAAAUUCACUACAUCAAAAUAUUUCCCACUGUCCCCUGCCUGGUAGCUGAAAUCCCACCAUUCCAUCUUUAUUCCUUUGGCCAAGGGUUUUGGCCCCAGUUAAAAAUGCAAAUACCCCCUGGGAGAGGCAUUAAACAUUAUCAGUCAUCCUCAUUCUCCUGUGAACAGUCUAGAUUAUUCAGUGCCUACCUUUAGAAAAGCAGCCUAGAUUUAGAAACAGUCUAGAUUUUGUUGGUUACAGGAGAAAUCUGACUUCUUCACCAUUCUGGUGUUUUCAUACUCAAUUUUCAACCUAACAGAGAAAAUUAGAAAUGACAAAAAUCUAAAUAUCUCUUCCACUUAGUUUCAGGAUGCACAAAGAAAAAUGAACACACAAAGAAAAAUGAACACAGUUCUCUUCCUUAAGGCCUUCCUUAUAGGCCUAUGUCAGAGUGAUAAGUGAUCACACCAUUGAGUGAUCUGCACUGUGUAAAUGUUUUACAGGCCUCACUCGUGUAAUCCUCAUUGCAGCCCUAGGUGCAAUAGGUGAUGUGAUAUUGCUCUUCGGGUCCCCAUUUUAUAGAUGUGGAAACUGAGACUUAGAGACUUCAGUUACAUGUCCAAGGUCACCCAGCAGAAAAAAAGGUAUUUCCUAAAUAUUUGGUCUUGCAUUGUACACCUGUAUCCCUGGAACCUUUGGAACACAGCCCUUGGUGCUCUCUCUCGAGGUAACAAAUUCUGAACCUGACAAACUAAAACCACUCUGAAUUCUGAUUUGAGGAUCUGGGAGGUGAUGGGAGCAGAGGGCGAAGUCUUUCUAUCUCUUCCAUUGCCUGUCUGAUUCCCCAGCUGAAGGUGUGUUCUCCUCUCCCACAGUUCUUCAUUUGUGCCCUCUGUCUACCUGCUGGUGUAUACUCGAACUAAGAAAAAGACUACAAAGGCUUCACACCAAAAUGUUGACAAGAGCUUUCUUUGGGAAGUAGGAUCACAGGUACAUUCUUCUUUUUUUUCUGUCUGACCCAAGGCUGCCAGGGAAGAAGUGAGUCAGAAGGCUCUUCCUCAAUGCGCCUUCCAAGAGGUUACCUACCCUCUGUACCUCAGUAAGGCCAUGUGCAUCAGUGAAGUGGCACCAUUGGAACAUCGGUGCAGCGGUUUUGCAUCAGGCCAACUUAACUAAUUCCUUCCUAGAAUUACCUUCUGUAUGUAGUUCCUCAGGAUUGCCUACAACUGAUAUUUGUGGAGCAUUCGGAAGGUAGAAGUGAAACGGCAGCUUUCAUGUUGUGAAGGUCAGUGUGUGGCUACGGGGGCUACUUCAAACUUGUCAACACAUUGUGACCCAUCCGGGGACUUUCCCUGUUGGUGUGGGCCCACAGCCUUCCCCAGCUCCUGCCACAUCUUCCCCUUCAGCUACUCUGAGUCUGGAGCAAAGCUUAUGUCCCGUUCUGUGGUAAAGGAUACCAGCUUUUGGUUUCAAAGUCAAGGUUGAAAGUGGCAAGAGAAAAAUAAAAGUUCCUUUGGGGGUUUCACUUUCGCCUCACUCUCUCCCACCUCACAUCUGGCUUUUCUUCCAGACUUCUGGCCCUGCUGAUCUAUAGCUACUUCAGACCCAUCACUGGACUGCACUUCUCAAUUACUCUGUACCUGUACACACUGUGGGACUAGUUCCGACUAAUGAAAUAUGGUGCAGCUACAAGACUGAGAAGCAUCCAUCAGCCUAGAUCCCUGAGUGACUUUGUGCAGCAGAACCUCUCCCACAAACCCCCUCUGGAUAUAUAGAAUAAGCAAGAAAUAAGCAUUUAUUGGGGCGCCUGGGUGGAUCAGUCGGUUGAGUGGCCGACUUCAGCUCAGGUCAUGAUCUCACGGUCCGUGAGUUCGAG